AAGAGCUUCUACUUGGAUGCUGGACCUUCUGGCAGUCCCUCAGGCUACCACCAAAACUACCUACCUGCCUCUCUGCCUCCACGCCAGGAGUUUUUGGAUUUACACACCCGGAUUACUCCCCCUCUAUGUCAUCUCCGACCUCCGUUGGCAAGUACACAUGACCCCGACCUUUUCCUGGACCUUUUGUGACUUGCUUUCCAGUCCAAUCCCCGGACCCGGACCAGAUCAUUAUUUAGUUAACGUCUACGCUCACCUUUUGUUUAUGAAUAUUUUGUGUGCACAUUAAACAUUAUUCUUAAAAUAUA